AUUGAACGCUGGCGGCAUGCUUUACACAUGCAAGUCGAACGGUAACAGGUUAAGCUGACGAGUGGCGAACGGGUGAGUAAUGCAUCGGAACGUGCCCGGUCGUGGGGGAUAACGCAGCGAAAGCUGCGCUAAUACCGCAUACGAUCUGAGGAUGAAAGCGGGGGACCGUAAGGCCUCGCGCGAUCGGAGCGGCCGAUGUCAGAUUAGGUAGUUGGUGGGGUAAAGGCUCACCAAGCCGACGAUCUGUAGCUGGUCUGAGAGGACGACCAGCCACACUGGGACUGAGACACGGCCCAGACUCCUACGGGAGGCAGCAGUGGGGAAUUUUGGACAAUGGGCGCAAGCCUGAUCCAGCAAUGCCGCGUGCAGGAAGAAGGCCUUCGGGUUGUAAACUGCUUUUAUACGGAGCGAAAAGGCUCUCUCUAAUACAGGGGGCUCAUGACGGUACCGUAAGAAUAAGCACCGGCUAACUACGUGCCAGCAGCAGCCGCGG
rnacentral:rRNA from 1 species